rnacentral:piRNA from 1 species
UCUGAAGGCUGCACUUUAAGAGAUUGGACUGU